rnacentral:rRNA from 1 species
AGUACGGCCGCAAGGCUAAAACUCAAAGGAAGUUCGACGGGGGCCCGCACAAGCGGCGGAGCAUGCGGAUUAAUUCGAUGCAACGCGAACGAACCUUUACCUGGGUUUGACAUACAUCCUGCCGCUCCAGAGAUGGGGCUUCUUUUGGGGGUGUACAGGUGGUGCAUGGCUGUCGUCAGCUCGUGUCGUGAGAUGUUGGGUUAAGUCCCCGCAACGAGCGCAACCCUUGUCGCAUGUUGCCAGCAGCACCUUUGGGUGGCUGGGGACUCAUGCGAGACUGCCGGGGUCAACUCGGAGGAAGGUGGGGAUGACGUCAAGUCAUCAUGCCCCUUAUGUCCAGGGCUUCACGCAUGCUACAAUGGCCGGUACAGAGGGCUGCGAUCCCGUGAGGGGGAGCGAAUCCCAAAAAGCCGGUCUCAGUUCGGAUUGGGGUCUGCAACUCGACCCCAUGAAGUCGGAGUCGCUAGUAAUCGCAGAUCAGCAACGCUGCGGUGAAUACGUUCCCGGGCC